rnacentral:rRNA from 1 species
AUACGGAGGGUGCGAGCGUUACUCGGAGUCACUGGGCGUAAAGCGUCCGUAGGCGGUCGGGUAAGUCGGGUGUGAAAGCCCCGGGCUCAACCUGGGAAGUGCACCCGAUACUGCUCGACUCGAGUGCGGGAGAGGAUGGCGGAAUUCCCGGUGUAGCGGUGAAAUGCGUAGAGAUCGGGAGGAACACCAGUGGCGAAGGCGGCCAUCUGGCCCGCAACUGACGCUGAGGGACGAAAGCGUGGGGAGCAAACAGGAUUAGAAACCCUGUAGUCC